rfam:Streptomyces sp. MTSC 1 167, whole genome shotgun sequence.
CUUCAACGACCCCAGCCACAACGGCCGUUCGGCAUCACGACCCCUGCCGUACGUCGCCAGCAGCGCCUGCGCCUC